CAAUACCGCGUGAAUGAUGAAGGCCUUAGGGUUGUAAAGUUCUUUUAGUUGGGAAGAUAAUGACGGUACCAACAGAAAAAAGCCCCCGGCUAACUCCGUGC
rnacentral:rRNA from 1 species